rnacentral:pre_miRNA from 1 species
AAAAAAACAAGCCCUGAGUUUCCGUGUCCAACGUUUGACCAUCCGUCUUAUUUGAAAAAAUUAUGAAAAAAUUAAAAAGACAAGUCACGAAUAAAGUAUUAAUCAUGUUUUAUUAUCUAACAACAAUAAAAAUACUAAUUAUAAAAAAAUUCAUAUAAGACGGAUAGUUAAACGUUGAAUACGAAAAUUCAGGGUUUGUCUUUUU